rnacentral:lncRNA from 1 species
GGCUGGUCUUUGCUGAGGAAAUGUAGGCUAGCUAACAGCUGUUUGUGCUGAAACCAGCUAGCCAGUUUGACUGUAGACAGCCGGGUUUAACCCUGUUCAGAAAAAAUUGAUUGCUCCUACAGACAGCGAGUCACGUGGCCUUGGCUUGAAAUAUAAAGCAGGCUGACCGGCAUUGAGGCAUUCAGUUACAGUUCAAUUGAACAUUAGAAUAAGCAAAACAAGUGACCUUUGAGCGUGGUAUGAUCGUCGGUGCAAAGUUCGCCGGAUCCAGUAUCUCAGAAAUGGCUGCCCUCCUGGGCUUUUCACACACGACAGUGUCUAGGGUUUACCGAGAAUGGUGUUACAAUCAAAAACAUCCAGUCAGCAGCAGUCCUGUGGGCGAAAACAGCUCGUUAGUGAAAGAGGUCGAUGGAGAAUGGCAAGAAUCAUGCAAGCUAACAGGCUGGCCACAAACAGACAAAUAACAGCACAGUACAACAGUGGUGUGCAAAACGACAUCACGGAACUCACAAGUUGUCAAUCCUUGUCAUGGAUGGGCUAUUGCAGCAGAUGACAACACUGGCAUGCAAUCACCAUCACUGGAUAAUUGAGGAUAGUUAACUCUGGGUCUUCCUUUCCUGUGGUGGUCCUCAUGAGAGCCAGUUUCAUCGUAGCGCUUGAUGGUUUUUGUGACUGCACUUGAAGAAACUGUCAACGUUUUUGAAGUGUUCCGUAUUGACUGACCUUCAUGUCUUCAAGUAAUGAU